rnacentral:rRNA from 1 species
AGAGUUUGAUCCUGGCUCAGGAUGAACGCUAGCGACAGGCUUAACACAUGCAAGUCGAGGGGCAGCACAGGUAGCAAUACCGGGUGGCGACCGGCGCACGGGUGAGUAACGCGUAUGCAACUUACCUAUCAGAGGGGGAUAACCCGGCGAAAGUCGGACUAAUACCGCAUGAAGCAGGGGCCCCGCAUGGGGAUAUUUGCUAAAGAUUCAUCGCUGAUAGAUAGGCAUGCGUUCCAUUAGGCAGUUGGCGGGGUAACGGCCCACCAAACCGACGAUGGAUAGGGGUUCUGAGAGGAAGGUCCCCCACAUUGGUACUGAGACACGGACCAAACUCCUACGGGAGGCAGCAGUGAGGAAUAUUGGUCAAUGGCCGAGAGGCUGAACCAGCCAAGUCGCGUGAGGGAUGAAGGUUCUAUGGAUCGUAAACCUCUUUUAUAAGGGAAUAAAGUGCGGGACGUGUCCCGUUUUGUAUGUACCUUAUGAAUAAGGAUCGGCUAACUCCGUGCCAGCAGCCGCGGUAAUACGGAGGAUCCGAGCGUUAUCCGGAUUUAUUGGGUUUAAAGGGAGCGUAGAUGGAUGUUUAAGUCAGUUGUGAAAGUUUGCGGCUCAACCGUAAAAUUGCAGUUGAUACUGGUUUCCUUGAGUGCAGUUGAGGCAGGCGGAAUUCGUGGUGUAGCGGUGAAAUGCUUAGAUAUCACGAAGAACUCCGAUUGCGAAGGCAGCUUGCUGGAUUGUAACUGACGCUGAUGCUCGAAAGUGUGGGUAUCAAACAGGAUUAGAUACCCUGGUAGUCCACACGGUAAACGAUGAAUACUCGCUGUUGGCGAUAUACUGUCAGCGGCCAAGCGAAAGCAUUAAGUAUUCCACCUGGGGAGUACGCCGGCAACGGUGAAACUCAAAGGAAUUGACGGGGGCCC